CCUCCCCGAAUCAUCUCUUACCAUCUCUUUGCCUACUAUAACUCAGCUGACCAGCACACAGAGAAGUAUUUUUGAGAUGGUACCGUUACAGUUGCGCAGAAAUCUACAUUUUCUUGAAUCUGCUCAGAAACUUCAUAUGCCAGCGUUGAAAACUCCGACAAAGGUAAUACAAAGUGCAAAGAUCUGAAGCUUCCACUUCAUGGAAUUGCUCUGAGAAACAAUAAAAAAAUUGCUGUCAAUGCAGUAGAAGUCAAGUGCAAUUCAGGAUAUCGUUUGGUUGGGUCAAAAUGGCGUGUCUGCACAAAUAGUGGAAAAUGGAGUGGGUUGCCUUCUAGAUGUGAAGACAUUGAUGAGUGUGCUGCUGGAGGACAAAACUAUCCGUGUGAUGACAAUGCCGAUUGUAUCAAUACCAUUGGCUCAUAUUAUUGUGUUUGCUUGCCUGGCUUUCGUGGUGAUGGAAUUAAUUGUAAAAGAUAUGAAUACAGUAAGUUUUGUUAUUUAGUUUCUAUGCAUAUGUUUUGUGACAAAUCUCCUUUUAAGAAACUGCAGCCCGAUGGGCGGUGCCAAAGAGGGGGCUGGGGGGCUUCAGCACAAACGUGAUUUUAUCAUAAAACAAAAAGAAAAAUAAAAGCAAGAAGAUAGAAGAAAAGAAUUGUGGAAUGAAUCCUAUUAUUGCUCAAUUUCUCAAGGAAUAAUCGAAGUCUAUAGUACCUCAUAAAGUAAUGAAUUCCAAGACUGGAAUUAAUCAACCGUAAUGAAAGCAUGCCUUAAAAAAUAGUAAAAUGUUUUAAACGAUUGCAAAAAAUGA